rnacentral:rRNA from 1 species
GACGAACGCUGGCGGCGUGCUUAACACAUGCCAGUCGAACGAAGAGCGAUGGAAGCUUGCUUCUAUCAAUCUUAGUGGCGAACGGGUGAGUAACGCGUAAUCAACCUGCCCUUCAGAGGGGGACAACAGUUGGAAACGACUGCUAAUACCGCAUACGAUCUAAUCUCGGCAUCGAGGAUAGAUGAAAGGUGGCCUCUACAUGUAAGCUAUCACUGAAGGAGGGGAUUGCGUCUGAUUAGCUAGUUGGAGGGGUAACGGCCCACCAAGGCGAUGAUCAGUAGCCGGUCUGAGAGGAUGAACGGCCACAUUGGGACUGAGACACGGCCCAGACUCCUACGGGAGGCAGCAGUGGGGAAUCUUCCGCAAUGGACGAAAGUCUGACGGAGCAACGCCGCGUGAGUGAUGACGGCCUUCGGGUUGUAAAGCUCUGUUAAUCGGGACGAAAGGCCUUCUUGCGAAUAGGGAGAAGGAUUGACGGUACCGGAAGAGAAAGCCACGGCUAACUACGUG